rnacentral:rRNA from 1 species
AUUUCGCCCUUUUUUUCAAAAACAUUUUUUUUUGUUUACAUGUAAAAUAUAGCCUGCCCACUGAAUUUUAAAGGGCCGCGGUAUUUUGACCGUGCUAAGGUAGCAUAAUCAUUAGUCUCCUAAUUAGGGAAUUGUAUGAAUGGUUGAAUCUUGAACAGCUUUAUUUGUUUUUAUGCUUUAAUUUUUAUUUAAGGUUAAAAUACCUUGAAGCGCUGUAUAGACGAUAAGACCCUUUAGAGCUUAAUAUUAAGAUUUUAUGUACUUAUAGGGGCUGAGGCUUUAAAAUUAAUAUAUUUAAUUGGGGCAAUUUGAGAAUAAAUAUAACUUCUUAAAAUAAAAAGGAUCUUAAAAUUUAAAAGCGAAAAAGUUACCUAAGGGAUAACAGCGUAAUAAAGGUUGAGAGCUCGCAUCGACACUUUUGUUUGCGACCUCGAUGUUGAAUUAAAUAAAGCGCCUAGAGCAGCUUUUAGGAAGCUUAGUCUGUUCGACUUUUAAUUUUUUACAUGAUUUGAGUCAAAACCGGCGAAUU